rnacentral:rRNA from 2 species
CCUUAUCCUUUGUUGCCAGCGGUCCGGCCGGGAACUCAAAGGAGACUGCCAGUGAUAAACUGGAGGAAGGUGGGGAUGACGUCAAGUCAUCAUGGCCCUUACGACCAGGGCUACACACGUGCUACAAUGGCGCAUACAAAGAGAAGCGACCUCGCGAGAGCAAGCGGACCUCAUAAAGUGCGUCGUAGUCCGGAUUGGAGUCUGCAACUCGACUCCAUGAAGUCGGAAUCGCUAGUAAUCGUGGAUCAGAAUGCCACGGUGAAUACGUUCCCGGGCCUUGUACACACCGCCCGUCACACCAUGGGAGUGGGUUGCAAAAGAAGUAGGUAGCUUAACCUUCGGGAGGGCGCUUACCACUUUGUGAUUCAUGACUGGGGUGAAGUCGUAACAAGGUAACCGUAGGGGAACCUGC